AGAGGUGGCGAGCGUUAUUCGGAAUUAUUGGGCGUAAAGGGCGCGUAGGCGGCCAAGCAAGUCCUGGGUGAAAUCCCUCGGCUCAACCGAGGAACUGCCUCGGAAACUGCAUGGCUCGAGGCCGGGAGAGGGUGGCGGAAUUCCCAGUGUAGCGGUGAAAUGCGUAGAUAUUGGGAGGAACACCGGUGGCGAAGGCGGCCACCUGGACCGGUUCUGACGCUGAUGCGCGAAAGCGUGGGGAGCAAACAGGAUUAGAUACCCUGGUAGUCCACGCUGUAAACGAUGGGUGCUCGGUGUCGCGGGUAUCGACCCCUGCGGUGCCUUAGCUAACGCGUUAAGCACCCCGCCUGGGGAGUACGGUCGCAAGGCUGAA
rnacentral:rRNA from 1 species